rnacentral:rRNA from 1 species
UGGGGAAUAUUGCACAAUGGGGGAAACCCUGAUGCAGCGACGCCGCGUGAACGAAGAAGGUAUUCGUAUCGUAAAGUUCUGUCCUAGGGGAAGAUAAUGACAGCACCAUAGAAGAAAGCUUCGGCUAAAUACGUGCCAGCAGCCGCGGUAAUACGUAUGGAGCGAGCGUUGUCCGGAAUUAUUGGGCGUAAAGGGUACGCAGGCGGUUUAAUAAGUCGAAUGCUAAAGAUCGGGGCUCAACCCCGCAAAGCAUUGGAAACUGAUAAACUUGAGUAGUGGAGAGGAGAGUGGAGUUCCUAGUGUGGUGGUGAGAUACGUAGAUAUUAGGGGGAAUACCAGUAGCGAAGGCGACUUUCUGGACACCAACUGACGCUGAGGUGCGAAAGCGUGGGGAGCAAACAGG